rnacentral:rRNA from 1 species
GAUGAACGCUGGCGGCGUGCCUAAUACAUGCAAGUCGAGCGAACAGACGAGGAGCUUGCUCCUCUGACGUUAGCGGCGGACGGGUGAGUAACACGUGGAUAACCUACCUAUAAGACUGGGAUAACUUCGGGAAACCGGAGCUAAUACCGGAUAAUAUAUUGAACCGCAUGGUUCAAUAGUGAAAGACGGUUUUGCUGUCACUUAUAGAUGGAUCCGCGCCGCAUUAGCUAGUUGGUAAGGUAACGGCUUACCAAGGCGACGAUGCGUAGCCGACCUGAGAGGGUGAUCGGCCACACUGGAACUGAGACACGGUCCAGACUCCUACGGGAGGCAGCAGUAGGGAAUCUUCCGCAACGGGCGAAAGCCUGACGGAGCAACGCCGCGUGAGUGAUGAAGGUCUUCGGAUCGUAAAACUCUGUUAUUAGGGAAGAACAAAUGUGUAAGUAACUAUGCACGUCUUGACGGUACCUAAUCAGAAAGCCACGGCUAACUACGUG